GAUGAACGCUAGCUACAGGCUUAACACAUGCAAGUCGAGGGGAAACGACAUCGAAAGCUUGCUUUUGAUGGGCGUCGACCGGCGCACGGGUGAGUAACGCGUAUCCAACCUGCCCAUCACUUGGGAAUAACCUUGCGAAAGUAAGACUAAUACCCAAUGACAUCCCACGAAGACAUCUGAAUGGGAUUAAAGAUUUAUCGGUGAUGGAUGGGGAUGCGUCUGAUUAGCUUGUUGGCGGGGUAACGGCCCACCAAGGCAACGAUCAGUAGGGGUUCUGAGAGGAAGGUCCCCCACAUUGGAACUGAGACACGGUCCAAACUCCUACGGGAGGCAGCAGAGAGGAAUAUUGGUCAAUGGGCGAGAGCCUGAACCAGCCAAGUAGCGUGCAGGAUGACGGCCCUAUGGGUUGUAAACUGCUUUUAUAAGGGAAUAAAGUGGGUCUCGUGAGACUUUUUGCAUGUACCUUAUGAAUAAGGACCGGCUAAUUCCGUG
rnacentral:rRNA from 1 species